GAUGAAGAACGUAGUGAAAUGCGAUAAGUAAUGCGAAUUGCAGAAUUUCCGUGAAUCAUCGAAUCUUUGAACGCACAUUGCGCCCAUUAGUAUUCUAGUGGGCAUGCCUGUUCGAGCGUCAUUAAGUCCACUUAAGCCCUGCUUAGUGUUGGGAGACUGCUCCAGCGGUGCUACCCUGUAGCUACCCUGCAGCUCCUCAAAGACAGCGGCGGAGUUGUGGUAUCCUCUGAGCUUAGUAACUUGUUCUAGCUUUCGAGUACACCACUUCCCCUGCCGUAAAACCCUUAAUUUUUAAUGGUUGACCUCGGAUCAGGUAGGAAUACCCGCUGAACUUAAGCAUAUCAAUAAGCGGAGGA
rnacentral:misc_RNA from 1 species